UUUUUUCCCUGCAGAAUUAUUGCCAUAAUCUUUUGCUUCCAGAGAAUCUUUUCCAUGUCUUUAGGAAACUUCUCUCUGCUAGGCUCCCAGAUCAGGCCAAUUCCCAGGUUCCUUCCCAAACUGAGGUGUAGCCCAUGGUUUCCACUCUCCAGCUGGAACAGAAGAAAGCAGAGAGUUUGCUGUUGUGGGAGAGCAGCUUCUCUUUCCUGCCUGCUUUCCCUUUGGGACAGAGCUUUUUGAGAAAAUUGACUGAUGUAGCUUCUGCUGGUGGUGGUGCUUUUGUCUGCAGGAGUUCCUCAGUGCCCAGCAGGAAUGAAAGGACCUGUGAUGAUGUGAUUUGAGAGCUCUGUUGUUCCUUGCCACAUGAGUGUUCAUGACAAGCUGGACACCCCACUUGUGGCUCUGUUGAGUUAAAUUCAUCCCAAUUCUGUGCAAACAGCAGCCCCGAGGUGCUGAGGAGAGCAAGGACAGUG